GAGGGGCCACUCUGGGCUGUUGGGAACCCCCUCCCACUUAACGGUGGCCCAAGGGCAGUUGACGAAUCCUGAGGCUGUGCCCAGGAGAGACCCACAGCCUCAGAACAGGGACUGUGAGGAAAUGGAUGAGCUUAGGAGGAAGAAGCCCAGAGAGGCAAAUCCAGAACUGUGCUGGGACCCCCGCGCCUGUGGAGCGCAAGUGGAAGCAGCUGCGCGUGGAGGAGGAGCUGGGUGCCCUUAAUGGAGAAGGCGAGCUCCCAGGACUAAGCAGGACUCAACGCUGGGCCUUGGGAACUUCAUUAUUUUUACUUCAAAGCCAUUGUUGAAGUACCUUCACUUUGGGAAGACCUGCGGACGAUUAUGCAGGACACAGUCACUGAAUAUCCUGUUGUACUUAAUACAGUGAAACCAAUCCAUCUCUAUCCCAAGGAUCAAACCACCUCUGUGUCAGUAAAGUCAGAGCUUGCAGCAUAUUUGACCCAAUACACAAUCUGCCGGAAUGGGCCACAAUAUUGUUGAUGACCUGAAGGCUAUCCAGAUAUUGAAAUCUGAGGAAAAUCAAUUAAGAGAACCAGAUAUCCACUGAGGGCAAUGUGCAUCUGGUCACAGGAAGGUCUACUUCAAUAGUGCCUGUUAAAUAUCCAGAUGUAUAAGGACCUGUAUGGUGAGUGUGUGCAUUUCUAUGAAAUUAUAUUCAGCUUUUAUGGCAAGCAGGAUAUAAUAGUGAUAUGAAUGUCUAAGAAGCCUCAAUUCAAGGUGUGAAGUUUACUGGUAUCAAACUUUAUUCUCCUACUUUGUUUUAAAUUUAGAUGCCUGAAUAUGUCAUGGGGAUUUACUUGCAUAGAAAUAAAUUGCAGAAUAGUCCUUCUAGUAGAGGUCCUAACUGCAGAUAACUGCAGCUAGGAGUAUUCGUGUACAGACUAGAUUCUGGUCACUAGAAUUCCCACUUCACUACAGUAGCACUCCUCAGAUAUCCAGAUAUAUCGCGACCCAUUUUCUGAGUAUGUGUUUCUUUGAAAUUGCUACUAUGGUCUUGUGAAAAGGACACCAUAGAGACAUUCUGAAUGGCUCUGAAGCCGCAGUUGGAAUUUUGAAGUGUAAGUGAUUGUCAGGCAUUUCACCUGUUUUUAUUUCAGAUUGCCUCCCUACACAUAUGAGGAAUUUAGUUCCAUUGGAAUUUAAUGUCACAGAAGUGCCUAAAAUUCAGUUUUGUACAAUGAUCCUGUGUUAGAACUAUUUCUGUAUAGACUGGCUACAAUGAAAUGUAUUUGCUACUCUCACGUGAUGGUCUAUUUUGUGUGAAUAUUGCUUUUGAGAUAGAUAU